rnacentral:rRNA from 1 species
UACAGAGGUGGCAAGCGUUGUUCGGAAUUACUGGGCGUAAAGGGCGCGUAGGCGGCCCGUCAAGUCCCGUGUGAAAGCCCCCGGCUCAACCGGGGAACGGCGCGGGAAACUAGCAGGCUUGAGUUCGGGAGAGGGAUGCGGAAUUCCAGGUGUAGCGGUGAAAUGCGCAGAUAUCAGGAAGAACACCUAUGGCGAAGGCAGCUCUCUGGGACGGUACUGACGCUGAGACGCGAAAGCGUGGGGAGCGAACAGG